GACGAACGCUGGCGGCGUGCUUAACACAUUCAAGUCGAACGGAAAGGCCCUGCUUUUGUGGGGUGCUCGAGUGGCGAACGGGUGAGUAACACGUGAGUAACCUUCCCUUUACUUUUGGAUAACUUCAGGUAACUUGGGCUAAUACCGGAUAGGAGCUCCUUCUGCAUGGUGGGGGUUUGAAAGUUUCGGCGGUUGGGGAUGGACUCGCGGCUUAUCAGCUUGUUGGUGGGGUAGUGGCUUACCAAGGCUUUGACGGGUAGCCGGCCUGAGAGGGUGACCGGCCACAUUGGGACUGAGAUACGGCCCAGACUCCUACGGGAGGCAGCAGUGGGGAAUAUUGCACAAUGGGCGGAAGCCUGAUGCAGCAACGCCGCGUGCGGGAUGACGGCCUUCGGGUUGUAAACCGCUUUCGCCUGUGACGAAGCGUGAGUGACGGUAAUGGGUAAAGAAGCACCGGCUAACUACGUG
rnacentral:rRNA from 1 species